rnacentral:snRNA from 1 species
AAAAAGGGUAUCUGUCAUGAGUGGCACAUGCAGGGCAACUUGUCUGUCUUACGUGUGGAAUCGACAUCAAGAGAUUUUGGAUGCAUAAUUUUUUGGUACUUGGGCAGCUAGUGAUCGUUAGUCCUGGCGCCCUU